ACUUAUGUAUGCCACCAAAUGGACAAUUAACGGGAAUAAGCUACGGGCGAUUGUGUAGUGUGGUGUUCUAUUUUUACAUUAUUUGGCGUAUACUUAUAUUAUAUUAUUUUAAAGAGUAAAUCUUAUAUACAUUGAUAACGUAUACACUAUCACGAUUAGAUGCACCUACACAUAUGCAAAAUUUGGGUUAUAAAUUCAAAUUCAGAUUAUGUAUUAUUUAUCUAAUGGGAAAAGUGUGAACGAAUAUACAUCAAAUCUUGUAAGAAAUCCAACAAGAAAAUACAAAUUUUUCUUUUUUUGGUGUAAGUGGAAGAAUUCGAAUCCGGAACCUCUCACAUACACUCCGAACAAUAAGAAGGCACGAUUGUAUCAAAACACGACAUAUCUGCCCCAAGUUGAUAACUGACCAUCUCUCAUCUUUAGUGCAACAACAAAACGACACAUGCAUGGCUUCACAUUUUAAAUACAGGAGGGAGCUCAGAUCAUGUACAUAGAGUCAAAUAUACAUGGCCAAACAUGCAGAUUAUUACCAAUAUGAAUACUAACUAACACAUAUUUUAGCAAUUCAUCAAGUAAGAAUAUGACAGGUAUUGAAUUACGAGCUCAAUACUUUUGUCAACUAGAUGGGACUCAAGCAAAAGUGAGCCACAAGAUGGUCAAACAAAAAAGAAGAAGAAAACAAUGUGGUAGGGGGCCUACGGGAAGAAAUAUGAAGCUCGGGUUGAAUUGGAAGUAUAGGGGUCUAAGGGACAGGUGGUUUGGUACAAGAAAACAUUGAGAAUGGAUAAUAAUGGAGGUGAUUUACUAGAUUAAAUAUGUGGUGGGAAAUAAUCCAUAAAGAUUUACACUUUACUCUCCUAAAUAGCAAGGAUUGACUUGUACGGUCACAUCAGCUAGUUUAUGUUUUAAGAUGGUGAAAGUUUGUUCAUACUUUAUUUGGAUGCAAUGAUAUGCAGAUCUGAAAGUUAUAAAUUUGAAAAAGUUACAUGUUAUUAUGCACAAUUUACCACCUUCAUUGCCUUUUACCUUGAAAUUUGACAUGAUAUAAAUAUAUCUAUAAGACUUGUUUUUGGUUCCAUAAAAAAGGAACUGAGAUAUGAAAUUCCCUCAGGUAAUAUAUGGUUCUCUAUGAUUAUUGAAAUGAGUUAGAAUAAAAAUCGAUAUUCUGCAUAGCUUGAUCCUAAAAUUUGUAAAUUCUAUCAAAGUAUUGUAUUUCCUUCUGGUUCCAAUUCCACUAUAAAGCCAAACAUAGAAAUUUAGCCUCCAGCCUUUAAGACAUUUGGGAUUGGUAACCCCUAUGGACCUAGGUUUUCCAAAUAUUGAGAUCAUAUUUCCGGGUUUAGCAUAGAAUCAUAAUUGCCAUUAUCUAAGAAAUCUCCGCAGGCAAGCCUUGACACAAUCAAGUAUCCUAGGAGGGCUUGACACAUUGUUAGGCUUGCUGUAACAGGAAAGAUCAAGUUCAUUGAGGCUCCACUUGUUCUGGAGGAAGAAGACUUUCUGGAUGUGCAGCUACAUCUAUACAAUAAUACGAAAUUAUUGGCUUGAACUACUAGGCCUCAAUCUUAUAAAGUUCUGGGAUUGUGGAUGACAUUGGACUUUUUGCAGCAGAAAUUGCUUGAAAGAGGAGCUAGGCAUAUGGGAGAGCUAGCUCUACACAUUAACAAAUGGUGGCUAGCAAAGGGGAAGAACGAUUCUCACAAAAACGAAUAACCAAAAUGCAUCAUAUCUGAGGAAUAUGAUUUCAAUUCUGUCUACUCGCUGUGUUUAAAAUUCAAAUUGAUAUAUGUUACCACUCUGGAAAUCUCACAAGUAUAUGUACCUUAGCAGAAUUAGCACAUCAACCAGAUGAAAUAACCGAGAAGAGGCACCAGUUGUCAAUAUGUGUCUGUUUCUCCAUUCAAUCAAAUCCACAUUAGAAGAAUGAUGCUGAUGUCUACAGCACCAAAAAUCAGAUUGUGCAUCCCCACCUAAGAUUCAAAGAAACUAUAAAUGUGUAUAAGAACGCUUAAAGCAUAUGUAAGAAACAAAACUGAGUUCUGGUCAUGCAGAGAAGGUAAAUAACUGAAACAGUGGAUAUAUUGUGAAUAUGCAUCCAAUUGAAACACUAAGCUCUCCCUUCCGACUUGGGUAUCAGACUAUUAAUUCUAAUCCUUUGGAACGAUGAUAUUAUCCAACAAAAGAGAAUCCAGAGCUCUACUCUCCAGAAGCAUAAAUUGGGUAAACUAUUUAUUGCCCAUUUUGUUGACAUGUCAUGCUAAAGUUAAUGUCUGUGCUAAAAACAUGCUUAUAUGUCAAAAAGAUGCCAGGUAAAAAUAGAAACUGAUGCAGCAAGUGAAAAACCUAAUGCUGCAGAGCACAGUGUUUACAGCAACACUCCUUUGGUGUCCUCUAACCAUCCAUGUAAGUGCUUAUGCUUAGGUGACUACAUGCAGCAAAUGUGGUACCUAAACUACUACUAGAAGCAAUACAACCAUGGGCCUUCAUCUACUUCCACAUACAUUAUGAGCAUGGCACGGGAAAGCUACAUAUGCAUGGCAAAAAGCAUGAAGUUGUACCACAACAAAGGUAAAUUACAUUCUAGAUGGGUACUGUGAUUCACCAGCAACUUGAACAGGAAAGCAUCUCACUAAGUGAUUUGCUACUUAACAAGAAAUAUUUUAAAGGUGCCACAGAAUUUUAAUAUCAGAACCAACUUGUGUAUUUUUAGACAUACUUUGGCUUAAAUAUAACUGUAGAGACAUGGCUGGAACUAUAACUCCACGUAAAAUUAAUGCCUGAUUGAACACAUUAAAUAUUCUGACAUCAAUGACCUAAAUGAGGGAGCUGGCCUGUGGAAGUGAAAAUGAAGUGAUACAUAACAACAAAGAUACACACAUAUAGAGGUUAAGUAGCCAUCCUUAAGAGCUGAAAAAGUGAAGAAUUGCUUACUAUUUAAUCAGCAUAGUAACCAAAAUAAUAAAUAAUACCUGAGCAAGCAAGAAUUUGAGGAGAUCGAAAAAACAAUGUCAUGAAGGCCAGUCUUCCAGGAUAUUACUCAUCAUAUAAAGCUUGAAUAUUCAUCUCAAUGAUAAGAAAACAUAUUGUCAAUAUCCCAACUGGAUGUAAAAGCUUUCUCUGCUAACUCCUACUGAAUACAAGGUCUUAUUCUAGGUGAGCAUACUACAUGCAAAUUUCACAUAACUUCUCAACCAUCAGGCCCUUGAGGAAGUCAAUUGUGCAUCUUGAUCAAAGAGUAGAAAUCAAGAAGGAAGCUGGCUGCUUGCAACACCUUCUGCCCUCAUAUAUUUG